AUUCCAGCUGAUCCUGCUGGAGGAUACUGCUAUCGGAAUUCGACUAAGCCAUGCAAGUCUGAGAGGUUCGUACGAGCCUCUGGCAUACGGCUCAGUAACACGUAGUUAACCUACCCAUUGGAGGGGCAAAACCCGGGAAACUGGGCAUAAUACCCCAUAGGCAAUCGGUGCUGGAAGGCUCUUUUGCCCAAACGAAAAACCCCUUACGGUGUAUCGCCGGUGGAUGGGACUGCGGGGGAUUAGGCUGUUGGCGGGGUAACUGCCCACCAAACCUACGAUCCCUACGGGCAAUGUAAGUUGGAGCCCGGAGAAGGGUACUGAGAUAAGGACCCUAGCCCUACGGGGUGCAGCAGGCGCGAAAAUUCUGCAAUGCGCGAAAGCGUGACAGAGGAAUUCCGAGUGGUCCUCACGGACCUUUUAUCAGGUCUAGAAAGCCUGAUGAAUAAGGGGGGGGCAACAUGCGUGCCAGCCGCCGCGGUAAUACGCAGCGCCCGAGUGGUAUCCACUAAUAUUGGGCCUAAAGCGUCCGUAGCCGGCCCUGUAAGUCCUCGGUGAAAUCGGCUCGCUUAACGAGUCGAAUGGCCAAGGAUACUGCAAGGCUCGAGGUCGGAAGACGUAGAGGGAAUUUCAGGGGUAGCGGUGAAAUGCUGUGAUCCUUGAAGGACCACCCGUAGCGAAGGCGCUCUACGAGGACGAACCUGACGGUGAGGGACGAAAGCUGAGGGAGCGACCCGGAUUAGAUACCCGGUUAGUCUCAGCCGUAAACGAUGCGGACUAGGUGUACUAGCACUCACGAAGUGCGGGUGUGCCGAAGAGAAGUCAUUAAGUCCGCCGCCUGGGAAGUACACUCGCAAGGGUGAAACUUAAUGGAAUUGGCGGGAGCGCACUACAAGGGGUGGAUGCUGCGGUUUAAUCGGACUCAACGCCAAACAACUCACCAGGGGCGACAGCAGGAUGAUGGACAGUCUAAAGGGCUUUCCUGACACGCUGAGAGGUGUUGUAUGGUCAUCGUCAGCUCGUACUAUGAAGCGUCCUGUCAACUCAGGCAACGGGGGAUGGGAGCACUCUAGGGGGACAGCGAGAGCAAUCUCGAGGAAGGAGUGGGCUACGGUAGAUCUGUAUGGCCCGAAUCUCCUGGGCUACACGCGGCACACAAUGGUUGGGACAAUGGGUCCCUAACCCGAAAGGGCACGGUAAUCCCCUAAACCCAACCUCAGUUCGGAUUGAGGGUUGGAACUCACCCUCAUGAAGUUGGAAUCCCCAGUAAUCGCGCGUCACUAUCGCGCGGUGAAUAUGUCCCUGCGCUUUGCACACACCGCCCAUCAAGCCAUUCGAGUAGAGUCCAGAUGAAUUGCAAUUCUUCACUGAGCUGCACUGAUUCUGGGUUUUGCGAGAAGGGCUAAGUUGUAACAAGGUGUCCGUAGGGGAACCUGCGGACGGAUCACCUCCU
rnacentral:rRNA from 1 species